UCAUGGCUCAGGAUGAACGCUAGCGGCAGGCCUAAUACAUGCAAGUCGAACGCUCAGUAGCAAUACUGGGAGUGGCGCACGGGUGCGUAACGCGUACACAAUCUACCUCUAAGCGGGGGACACCUCCUGGAAACGGGGAUUAAUACCGCAUAAUAUGCCGAAGACGCAUGACUUUGGUAUUAAAGCAGCAAUGCACUUAGAGAUGAGUGUGCGUCCCAUUAGGUAGUUGGUGAGGUAACGGCUCACCAAGCCUAUGAUGGGUAGCCGGUCUGAGAGGAUGGUCGGCCACACGGGCACUGAGACACGGGCCCGACUCCUACGGGAGGCAGCAGUAAGGAAUAUUGGUCAAUGGUGGAAACACUGAACCAGCCAUGCCGCGUGGAGGAAUAAGGUCCUACGGAUUGUAAACUCCUUUUGACGAGGAAGAAAAUGUUAGAUUUAUCUAAUUUUGACGGUACUCGUAGAAUAAGCACCGGCUAACUCCGUG
rnacentral:rRNA from 1 species